rnacentral:rRNA from 1 species
GACGAACGCUGGCGGCGUGCUUAACACAUGCAAGUCGAACGGAAAGGCCUCUUUCGGGGGGUACUCGAGUGGCGAACGGGUGAGUAACACGUGAGUAACCUGCCCUUGACUUUGGGAUAACCUCAGGAAACUGGGGCUAAUACCGGAUAGGAGCUCCUGCUGCAUGGUGGGGGUUGGAAAGUUUCGGCGGUUGGGGAUGGACUCGCGGCUUAUCAGCUUGUUGGUGGGGUAGUGGCUUACCAAGGCUUUGACGGGUAGCCGGCCUGAGAGGGUGACCGGCCACAUUGGGACUGAGAUACGGCCCAGACUCCUACGGGAGGCAGCAGUGGGGAAUAUUGCACAAUGGGUGGAAGCCUGAUGCAGCAACGCCGUGUGCGGGAUGACGGCCUUCGGGUUGGAAACCGCUUUCGCUCAUGACGAAGCUUUGUGUGACGGUAGUGGGUAAAGAAGCACCGGCUAACUACGUG